rnacentral:rRNA from 1 species
GGGGAAUUUUGGACAAUGGGGGCAACCCUGAUCCAGCCAUGCCGCGUGAGUGAAGAAGGCCUUCGGGUUGUAAAGCUCUUUCGGACGGAAAGAAAUCGCGCGGGUGAAUAAUCCGCGUGGAUGACGGUACCGUAAGAAGAAGCACCGGCUAACUACGUGCCAGCAGCCGCGGUAAUACGUAGGGUGCGAGCGUUAAUCGGAAUUACUGGGCGUAAAGCGUGCGUAGGCGGCGCUGUAAGACAGGUGUGAAAUCCCCGGGCUUAACCUGGGAAUUGCGCUUGUGACUGCAGUGCUCGAGUGCGGCAGAGGGGGGUGGAAUUCCACGUGUAGCAGUGAAAUGCGUAGAGAUGUGGAGGAACACCGAUGGCGAAGGCAGCCCCCUGGGUCGACACUGACGCUCAGGCACGAAAGCGUGGGGAGCAAAC